GCGGCGUGCUUAACUACAUGCAAGUCGAACGGGGUCGAUUUUAAGCUUGCUUAGAUGAGCCUAGUGGCAAACGGGUGAGUAACGCGUAGGCAACCUGCCUCUAAGAUGGGGACAACAGAGCGAAAGUUCUGCUAAUACCGAAUGUUGUGAGUUUUCCGCAUGGAGAACUCAUUAAAGAUGGCCUCUACUUGUAAGCUAUCACUUAGAGAUGGGCCUGCGUCUGAUUAGCUAGUUGGUGGGGUAACGGCUCACCAAGGCGACGAUCAGUAGCCGGUCUGAGAGGAUGAACGGCCACAUUGGGACUGAGACACGGCCCAGACUCCUACGGGAGGCAGCAGUGGGGAAUCUUCCGCAAUGGGCGAAAGCCUGACGGAGCAACGCCGCGUGAGUGAAGAAGGUCUUCGGAUCGUAAAGCUCUGUCGAAGGGGACGAACGUAGUGCUUAUCAACAACGAGCACUAAUGACGGUACCUUUCAAGAAAGCCACGGCUAACUACGUGCC
rnacentral:rRNA from 1 species